UUAGUCCUACGGGACGCAGCAGUGAGGAAUAUUGGUCAAUGGGCGCAAGCCUGAACCAGCCAAGUCGCGUGAGGGGAGACGGCCCUACGGGUUGUAAACCUCUUUUGUCGGGGAGCAAAAGACGCCACGUGUGGCGUUCCGAGAGUACCCGAAGAAAAAGCAUCGGCUAACUCCGUGCCAGCAGCCGCGGUAAUACGGAGGAUGCGAGCGUUAUCCGGAUUUAUUGGGUUUAAAGGGUGCGCAGGCGGAAGAUCAAGUCAGCGGUAAAAUUGAGAGGCUCAACCUCUUCGAGCCGUUGACACUGG
rnacentral:rRNA from 1 species